UGUCACAUCAGCCAAUAAGGUUGGUUGUCCCGCCCUCCCGCUGCGUGGUGCAGGGAGACUGCUCUGAUUGUAUCAGACGCGGCUUGAGUGAUCCAUGCUACUUGUUGCUUCUGUGGCUAGCUUGGAAAUUAGCAGACGAAACUUGAACAUCAAAGCUUCUGAUGCGACCGGGUUGGAAGCUGGAAAUCUCCGUGUAGCCUCGUGUAGCAUCGGUCAGGUUUUUUGUUGGUGCACUAUUUGAUCCAUAGUGCUACUGUGAAGACUGGAUUGCAUUUCCAGAACUGGAUGGCGAGCCCCAGCCCAAGGAUCGGACAAACCGGUAGAUAGUGACCCGACUGGUCACUAUAACUGAGACAUUGCAUGAACAAUUGAUGGACACUGUGACAAAAGACUAAAAAGGAAAAAAGAUUACAG